rnacentral:rRNA from 1 species
CAGUCGCCACGGGAAUACAAAUGGUGCAAGCGUUAAUCGGAAUUACUGGGCGUAAAGCGUGCGUAGGCGGUUUGUUAAGUCUGUUGUGAAAUCCCCGGGCUCAACCUGGGAAUGGCAAUGGAUACUGGCAAGCUAGAGUGUGUCAGAGGAUGGUGGAAUUCCCGGUGUAGCGGUGAAAUGCGUAGAGAUCGGGAGGAACAUCAGUGGCGAAGGCGGCCAUCUGGGACAACACUGACGCUGAGGCACGAAAGCGUGGGGAGCAAACAGGAUUAGAUACCCCAGUAGUCCCUGUCUCUUAUAC